rnacentral:lncRNA from 1 species
GUGGUCCUGAAGCAACUAAGCUCCAUUAGUUCUGAUUCUACUUAGCCUGGCUAAAAAAAAUUCUAUUUUUAUUAAGAACUUGUAUCAGUUCAGAUGUCACCUCUCCCAGGAAGUUCCUGGCUGGGUCCCAGACUCUCAUCUCUUGCCUCCAGUGAGCAGCCCUAACUCCUGUGGGUGACACUGUGUAUGACACGGGGAAGGAGCAGGAAGAGAUGCCUGUACGUGACUCUCGUGGACAUCUCUCAAGCAGCAAGAGUUCGUGCACAUGGAGACGGAGACGGAGAGGCCUGGCAUGCAGCACAGCGGUACUGCUGGUGCCUGGAGAUGGACUCUGCACUUCUCCCCAUUUUACAGAUGAGAACAGUUGAGCAAGGUCAGCAGCAGAGUCAGAACUCUUCCCCCAUCACCACAGUGGUCCUCAAGCUGGAGCCAGACAUCCAGUGAGUAAAUGGGGAGUCCCCAAGGCUGGUCCAGGUCCUCAAGAGUUCUGGCCCAGCUUCGGCUCAUUAUUGCUUCUUCCUCCCAGC